UACGGAGGAUGCGAGCGUUAUCCGGAUUUAUUGGGUUUAAAGGGUGCGCAGGCGGCACGGCAAGCCGGCGGUCAAAUCGCGGGGCUCAACCCCGCCCAGCCGUCGGAACUGCCGGGCUAGAGUGGGCGAGAAGUGCGCGGAAUGCGUGGUGUAGCGGUGAAAUGCAUAGAUAUCACGCAGAACUCCGAUUGCGAAGGCAGCGCACCGGCGCCCUACUGACGCUCAAGCACGAAAGCGUGGGUAUCGAACAGG
rnacentral:rRNA from 1 species